CCUACGGGUGGCAGCAGUGAGGAAUAUUGGUCAAUGGGCGCGAGGCUGAACCAGCCAAGUCGCGUGAAGGAUGACUGCCCUACGGGUUGUAAACUUCUUUUAUAUGGGAAUAAAGUGCAGUAUGUAUAAUGCUUUGCAUGUACCCGAUGAAUAAGGAUCGGCUAACUCCGUGUCAGCAGCCGCGGUAAUACGGAGGAUUCGAGCGUUAUCCGGAUUUAUUGGGGUUAAAGGGUGCGUAGGCGGGUUGUUAAGUCAGUUGUGAAAGUUUGCGGCUCAACCGUAGAAUUGCAGUUGAAACUGGAAUCCUUGAGUGCGGUAGAGGUAUGCGGAAUGCGUGGUGUAGCGGUGAAAUGCUUAGAUAUCACGAAGAACUCCGAUUGCGAAGGCAGCCUACUGGACUGUAACUGACGCUGAUGCUCGAAAGUGUGGGUAUCGAACAGGAUUAGAUACCCUUGUAGUC
rnacentral:rRNA from 1 species